rnacentral:miRNA from 1 species
GAUGACUGUGCCUCUAGUCCAUG